rnacentral:lncRNA from 1 species
GGAGGCAUUCUGCCAGCGGGCACCCAUCUUCCUUGACUACCUGCAGAGCAUCCUGCAGAAGUACCCCGAUGGGGGGCAGAUCCUCAAGGAGCUGGUGCAGAACGCUGACGAUGCCGGCGCUAAGGAGGUCGUGUUCGUGUCUGAUGAGCGGGAGUUCAACAUCACCACAGGAGGGCUGGAGGGCACCCAGGGCCCAGCUCUCCUGGCUUACAAUGAUGCCCUGAUGUCGCCACGGGACUGGGCAGGGAUCCUGAGCCCAGGGGUGUCACACAAGCGGAAGGACCCCAGCACCGUGGGGCGGUUUGGCCUGGGCUUCACCUCCGUCUACCACCUCACCGGGAGCUCCUGCCCAGCCUGGCUGGGUCCUUCCUGCCCUCAGACCUGGAGCCAGGCUUGGACAGCCUCCUGCGAGGCAUUGCCAAGGCGGGUCUCUUCCCCAACCUGGUUCUGCUGGACCCAGCCGUGACUGCCCAGACCCUGCGCUUGGCUCUGCCCCUUGCCUGGACUUCCCAGUCUUCAACCCCAGUGACCUGGUACCCAGCCCAAGGC